ACCUAAAUUUUGAAAAGUCUCAGAUACGCUUGUUUUACGGUACCUUUUACCACUUCUAAAUAGGGAGAGGUAUGAUUUGAGAUAAUGGUUAGAAUUAAACGACUUAGAUUACGGAUUACGCCCGGCAACCCAGCAAGGCAUAGAUAAUAGAAAAAGAAGUACAGUAACAGAAUUCAGCCCGGCCCAACAUCGAGCAGACACCCCUCCUUCAUCCGACGACGUCGAGCUGCCAGAAUCGCCGCCGCCACGACACCACGUCCUGCACCUCAUGCGACCCCUGCCGCCACCAGAUCGGACCGGCCCUGCAUCUCCGACGAGCGCAUCCGCCAUCAGGUCGGCCCCGUCGUGCGUCGAGGGCGAGCGCCUCCGCCACCAGGUCGGCCCCGUCGUGCUUCGCCGGCGAGCCACGCGGCCACUAGGUUGACGCAGCCGCAACAUCGAGAGAUGCCAGCACCAAUCUCGCCUCCAGGUGUCCUCCAUGACUGUCGACGUACAUUGCUGAUGUUAUCUUCAUUUCCCGGAUAGUAGCAUCAAGCGAGGCAAUCUGUUCUUUUUCUUCCUCCAAAGCAACAGACAUGGAAGUCAAGCUCUCAGUCAGCCCAGUUAUCUCUUGCUUGCAGACAUGGAUUUGCUGCAGAGCCUCAUACAUACAACUCUUCAUUGAACUUCACUUGCUUUUUGAACUCCAAGAUCAGGAAUUCUUGGCAGGCUCCAGUUUUGCGAUGAUAUUACAUGAACUAGUUGUUGGUAAAACUGAAUGUAAUUGCAAGAGUGAUUUUACUUAUUUUCCUAGAGUACUUGGUACUCAUUUGCUGUCAGAUAGUUUGAAAUAUAAUAUUUCAGUCCAUUCGUAAACUGCCUUUAGCCAGUUUUA